CCCUUUCAAAAUUAUCCCCUCUAAAACUUAUACAUACUAGCUAGCGGCCAAACGACUCCUAAAGGCUAAAUCAUGGAGCGCAGCUUCGGCCCUAAUGUUCUCGCACCCCUUGUUUUGGUGUGGUGGCGGUAACCCAUAGACACCGAGACUCCACCCUUAUUUUUGCAUUUCGUGGCGUCUCCGAUCGCACUCCGUCUUCUAUGAUCUAUCUUCACAUAUCAAUACCUCUCUCUCUCUCUCCCUCGUUUUCCUGGUAAGCAUCUUCUCUUCUCUCACUACAUGUAUGCGCAUUGCACUCCCACCCUCCCACAUCUAGAUCAUAGGGUUUUCGAAAGGAAGAUGGGGGGUGAGCUAAGAUUGGGGGUGAGUAUACAGGGACACGUUGCUGUAUGUAUGUAUGUAUAUCUGCCGAAUCGUUGAACAGUUGAAGAAUUCAUACUGAUCAGUUCUGCGCUAAUGAUUGUAGAAUGCUCAGCCUUAGGUUACAUUAGAACUGUAAUUUAGCGAUUUCUUGAUUGGGGCUGUUGGUGAUGAGACGAUGGUAUCUUGGUAUGUUUUCUUUUUCCUUUGGUUUCCUCUGUAUAGAGAAUUCUUGAAAUAAACACUAGUUUUGCUAAUCGAAGUGUGUUGGUUGGGUUACCGUUUGGCGUUGUGGCUUAGACUUGCUGGUGAGUUAUGACUCAGUGCUUACAUGAUGUUGUUCACAAACUCAUGCACUUGUGGCUUGUAAACUUCUCCAAGGUUACUGUUAAGCUUUGAGGGGGUGUUGGGAUAACAUUCGCAGUGGAAUUUGGGGGUUUGCUAUGGGAGACGCCUAUAGAGGGAGCGAGGUCGUCAAAAUUAUUUUUGAUCAGCGUAUUGUUUCCUGUCGAAGCUUUAUACACAUCUAUAAAAGGGGACACAAUUUCUAAAACCUACAUCCUCCCUACAAAAGGAACUUUUUCUCCGAGCCUCAAACUUUUCUUGUACCGUGCUGGCAGCCUUAAUAAGUCUGCGUGACUGAUUGUACCAUUAGCAAUUAUGGCUAAAACCUUUAUAACUUAAGACAGAAGAAGUAGUACAUUUGAGAAUUAAAAUACUUUUACAAGAUAAAAAUUGUUUACAGGCCGCCUGCCUUAUUGUAUGAUUAAAACAUGUUUUUUACGCUUUGCUUGGUCCCAACAUAAUUAAAACCGGCCAAUCGAGAAAAUAAUGCAGAUUUAAGUGGAAGAUCUUCUACAAGACACAAAUGGCAUUUGUGGAAACAGAUCAGGCAUGCCUGAGUAUGGUCGCCUCACUGGUUGUGAUUAGAUAUGUGUCGCCAUGGUAGUUGAGAUUGAGGUUCCAACACAACAUUUUUUCAUCCACGAAAACGUGUUUUUUCCCAUGAAACAGAAGUGACUAGUUUACCACCUCUACAAAACCAAUAAUUCCCUUCUAUGUAAUUUACAAAAACCACCCUUCUCCUGUUGUCAAUUUCUUUGUACCUAUGUUUUGUUUCUUGCCUUCUCUAAGCUGUGGUCUUUCGUUUUUUUUUUUUUUUAUCAAUAUGUAAAACAUGCUAUUUUACCAAAGUAUUCAGAAAAAUUUAGUGGUUCCCAUGGAUUUGGUAUUGUGUGCAUGCCAUGCUCUUACCCUAUGACAUGUGCGGGUACGGGUAUUGAUAAGGGGACAAUACGGGCACGUCUGUACGGUAAAACGUGAACAUAAAUAGGGUAGAGUCCCGUUCCUAAAAAAUAAAGUUACACCCAUUUAGUACUCAUUAAAAGUGUCCUUGGAUUGGCAACAUGGGAUACAGACUAACCAUUGGGAUAUAUCACAAAUGACUGUUCUCAAGAUUUGAAACUCAUAUCUCAUGUCUGGCUGAGCCAAGCCUUUUUGCCACUUGUUUUCAAGUGGCACACCACUACAAUCCCUAAAAAAUAUAUAUUUUAUAAUUUUAGUAAUAAUAAUGUAUCAUGGGAUACCAAAUAUCAAAAUUUAAUUAUAUCUUAGCUAAUUUAAGAAUUCAGGUAUAAAUGAAAGUUCACUAAGUAAUUAGUCACAAACAUAGUUUUAGUUUUUAUUAUCUUGAAGAACCUAGGCACUAAAGAUGAAAUAUUAUAACAUGCUAAGUUGAGAAAAGUCCGUCAAGUUAACAUACAAUCUCCGUAUAGAAAUAGAUUUUCCUGUAGGGUUCGGCUAAGAUAUAUAGUGGGUACUUUUAGGGUAGGUACAAAAAUAAAGAAAAAAACGGGUAACGCAUUUUGAAGUACCCUUUACAAUAUUUAGAAGUACCAUGUAAGUAUCGAACCCAGUGUGAGUACGACAUAGUUUUUAAAAGUACCCAUGCUACUCUGGCUUAUCACACCUCCUAAACAACUUUGUCAAUUAAACUCAACAAUAGUUUUAGUGGGAGGAGUUUGGGCCAUGAACUAAGGGGGGGGCUGCCCCCAAGUGCGGAUUAAAACUUCCCCGGGGGGGGGGGGGGGUUGUCAAAAACUCUUGAGGCCAACUCCCUACAGGGUUGGGCUGUGCCUCGGCUUUAAUUGGGCCGCUUCACUAAUGGGCAGUGGAAUGGUCCCCCAAAUUAGUCGGUCGUUUGAGCCGGAUACGAGUUAUCAAAAACAAUUGAUCUGCGAUCCCGGCACAACAAUAUUAAUGCACUCUUUCAAAUUUUUAAACAUUGCUCUGAUUCUAGGAGCCACAUACUCCCAAUCUCUCUUCAUCGCUUUUCUGAUACACUUAUUCCCGUAUCACGUCAAUAUCGAUACAAAAUUUAGGGCCUGUCUAGAAGAGCCCAAACUGGGUCUAGUGCCACAAGUAUAGGUUACGGUGCACUGCCUUAACAGGUGUCUUUCCACAAAAACAACCAGCUUACUCCCACUCUACUUGUUGUUCUGGCUUGUUUAAAACACUUGUCUUCACAGAUCUUCUCGUUUAAUCAAACUUAAGGUUGAAACAAUUUUGGAAGCUUGUUAAAUAUUUUGAUUCUUCUGAUCUCCUUUCUUCGGCUUGAUAAGUUAUUGUACAAAAAACUAGUAAGCUACUUGGCUUCACCACGAUUAAAGUUGUUGAUGAUCACUUGAACUAAUACAAUCCUUGAACAUUUCUUGAAAUCUGGUUAAGUUUUUCAAACCAGCUUAAGCAUACAGCUCAACUUGGCCCGUUUACAUCCCUAGUCUGAGGCCCACCUUUGUUUUGAGAAAGGUGUCGAAAACCUGGUUUUAAAAGAAACCAAGAAUUGAGUGUUUUUUCAAUAAAAUCAGAUAACUUAAUAGAGGUGGACCAGAACUGGUCUAUUUUUUUCAGAGUACCUGCACAGUCCCCUGGUUGCCUUUUAGACCUAGUUAUAAUUUGCUUUCAGUUGUAGAAGAUUGGCUAAAUUGAUCCAUGUUUAGUCAUUAGAUUAGAGCUCUGUUUCGGGAAUGAAUCUACAACAAGUUGCAAAACCCCCCCAGAUCGGCCUCUAAUGGGUAUGGUCGUCGGAGAGUUG
rnacentral:lncRNA from 1 species